UUAGAUAUUUUAUUUAUAAUAUACAGAAAAAACUAAAACGUGGGGCAAAAAUACUGUGGACUUGUUGUAGCCAGAUUUUAGUCACUGCAUUCUUUCCAUCUUUCUCUUUCGUUUUCCGCUCUUUCGUUUUCUCUUUUCUACUUCCAGCCAUUACCUCCCCUUAAUUCAGCCUUCAACAACACGCAGAACAAAACCCCCCUGGUUUUUUGUGAGGAAAAAAAGAGGAGUUUUUUGGGAGAGAAACGAAGAGAGAAGACAACACAACAACCGGUAGCUGCCAUUGAUGUGAAGGAAUCGACGGUGGAUCCUUUCUUGGUUGAGGCCUUACAGAACCACAUCUUCCUCACACCAGAGCUUUGACUAAACUGGUAUGUUUAUGGAACUUAUAACUGGGUUUAUUUAUGGAAGACUUGGAGUGGGUUUUUUAAAGGGACAGACCAAGUGUGCGAAUGAGCAGCUUUGACAAUUCCGAAUCUUCAUCGAUUACAGUUCUCCCAAUCUCAACUUCCAGCUCAUCCAUUCCGAAGGCUUUUGUUGUAGACAAGCCCACGUUCAGCCAGAUAAGUUGCUUUUAAAACAUGGUUUGCUUUGUGCUGGUUUGGUUUGCCUUUUUAAUCAUUAUGGGUCUUCAGAUUAUGAUUUUAUCUGGAUUUGCAUGUUAGUUGUUUUUUUUUUGUUUCCAUUUGUAUGUUUUCUCUCUUUUUUUGGUUCUUUUUACUGUUUAAUGGUUUGUUCUGCUUUUUUUGUUGUUUGGAUUAGUUGCAGUUCUGAUUCUAAUGGUUCUGUUUGUCCUUCUAAGUCUCUUCCUUGACAAUAGAGGUGUCUGUCUUGCUAUCAAGGUUCUUAGUUGCUUCCGAGGUCUAUUUUGCGACUUUGUUCCUGUUCAUGUUGGUUUUUAAGUGUUCUCUGUCCUGUGGAUAUCAACUUCUUUUUUUUCUAUUUGUUUUCCAGCUCUUUUUUUGGGUUGUUUCAUGUUUCGCUCCUAUUGGUAGGUUGGGCAGGUGGUUGGUUGUUCUGAUUCUCAUCUUUUUUUCUCCUUCCUUCUCAGCCUCGAGCUUUUGCAGGGAGGAGGCUGUGUUGUUAUAAGGAUCAUUGGUGCAUUUUGGAGUUACAAUUGAUUUUAGAACGUUCUUCUUUGGUGCUCUCAAUUGACAGGUUGGCUGUCGUGUGCUUAGACAGUAUGUAAGGUUGAUCUGAUGAUAUUUGCUUGAAAAGAAAAGGGAGGGAAACAUUUGGCAGAGUGCAGACUUAGAACAGCUUUUGGUUGGGGUGGGGGGAAGGAAUUCAGAUUCUUCUUGUUGCUUUAAGUUGGUCAGCUAUAGAGGGAUAGAUACAAAGUGGGGCGGGUCAAAUGAUAGAUUAGCUCAUAAAGCAUGAAACCGUUUUAUAAUGAUUAAUUUAAAGCAGUUCUUAGUUUUCGUUCAAGCCAAAGAUAACGCUAUUGCAGAUACUUAUUUUGGAGAUGCAUUUAAGGCGUAAAUGGUGCUUUGUUUGUCAUGGUUUCAGGUUACGUGAAAUGCAGCCCGGUAAAGCAGCGUGACCUAUUUCUCUUUCUUUGUGUUCCAAUUUUUUGUGUGGUUGGAUUUGCAAUUCCAGGAACAAUUAGCGUUAAGCCACACGGCUUUGCAGUCUAGAGACUUUCAUGAAGGGCUUUGAGUGUGUUUUUUUCUACCCUGUCCUUUGAGAAGCCUUUCUCAAGACGUCUGCUGCUGCUUCGUCUCAAGCCUGCACACACCAUCAUCUUGGCAAAUCUUUUUCCCUUUUCCCUUUGUGCUAAUAAGACUAUCUAUGCUACCUAAGAACAUGCCAUGUUAUUUAAGAGCCAUUGUUGCUGUCGUUUGAAGUUAGAUCUUCCUGGAA